CCUACGGGGGGCUGCAGUCGAGAAUCUUCCGCAAUGGACGAAAGUCUGACGGAGCGACGCCGCGUGCGGGAUGAAGGCCCUUGGGUUGUAAACCGCUUUCGGAGGGGAUGAAAUCCUCGAGGGUUCUCCCUCGAGGUUGACAGAGCCUCAAAAGAAGCACGGGCUAAGUACGUGCCAGCAGCCGCGGUAACACGUACUGUGCGAACGUUAUUCGGAAUCACUGGGCUUAAAGGGUGCGUAGGCGGCGAUUCAAGUCAGAUGUGAAAUGCCUGAGCUCAACUGAGGCAUUGCGUUUGAAACUGAAUUGCUAGAGUAUUUCAGGGGUGUGCGGAACUGCCAGUGGAGCGGUGAAAUGUGUUGAUAUUGGCAGGAACACCGGAGGCGAAAGCGGCACACUGGGGAUUAACUGACGCUGAGGCACGAAAGCCAGGGGAGCGAACGGGCUUAGAUACCCCAGUAGUC
rnacentral:rRNA from 1 species